ensembl:snRNA U4 U4 spliceosomal RNA
AGCUUUGAGCAGUGGCAGUAUUGUAGAUAAUGAGGUUUAUCUGAAGCGUGAUUAUUGCUAUUGAAAACUUUUCCCGAUACCCUGCUAUGACGACUUGAAAUACAGUCGGCAUUGGCAAUUUUUGGCAGUCUCUAUGAGG